UUGCAUAACUAAUUGCAUAAC
rnacentral:piRNA from 1 species